UGGGAGGACAAUAGUGAGAAGAGGCAACCUAAGAAUGCUUAGACUCUGACUGGGCGUGAGAAAUGGCCGGAAGUAGCUUCGAUUCCCUCAUUCAAGCAGUAGAGGCUCUGGAGAAAAACUGGAGCGCAUCUGCCUAAAGGGCCGCCCAGGGUCAGGAUGGAGGGGCAAAGUCCGAGCAGGGGGUUUCCUCCCAUAUUGGAUCACGAUGAAACUGCACAGAAAGUCCGUGCUCAGUUUCUUCCAUGGUUACAGAAUACAGGCCCCAGACCAGGAAGGCAUCUUGCUAAAGGGGACCCAAAACUUCAGCUACCAGCGCCGAUGCUUCAUCCUCCGAGGAAACCUCCUCUUCUACCUAUAACACUAGACCAACCAUGCACCCCUGGGCCUCAUCCUGUUAGAGAACUGCCAGGUGGAGCCACACCUUAAGGCCGCAGAACCCUAUGCCUUUACCAUCCUGACCCCUGGGGUGGAGGGCACAGGUGGGCGGGCCUACAAGCUGGCUGCAGAAACCCAGGAAGAGCUGGAGACUUGGCUGUGAGCACUGGCUGGCGUGAGCUGGAGGCGGCUGGCUGGGCUGCUGCCCCCCCCUCCAAGACCCAAUACUGGGAGCUGUGCCAGGCAGCUGGCCAAGAGCCCAUCUCAUCCCCAGAGGACAGUGGCUUUCUAGCCACUGUGAGUACCCCCCUCCAGCUUCCAGGAGUUGCAUGAGCACUUUGAGAAGGAGAUUCGGUGCUGCAGGUGGUACAUAGAGAGCUCCAGACAGCCAGUGACAAUGGAGACAGCAGAUCCCAGGCAAAGAUGGAGCAGGAGCUCAACCAGUGUCUGAUGAGUGACUGAGAGAUGGACCCAAAGCCAAGAAGUACCUACUUGCCAAGACAGCAGACUGCUUCAACAGAGACCCAGGUCCUGGCUCUGUCCCUCCCUCCCUUGUCCUUACCCCAUCCCCCCUCAUCAAAUAACAAGGCAGGAGACAGGCCCA
rnacentral:lncRNA from 1 species